GCCUGGGUGGCUCAGUCGGUUAAGCGUCUGACUUCCGCUCAGGUCAUGAUCCGCGGUUCGUGAGUUCAAGUCCUGCUUCGGGCU
rnacentral:tRNA from 1 species